GCAUUAUACGGCGAAACUGCGAAUGGCUCAUUAUAUAAGUUAUCGUUUAUUUGAUAGCACUUUACUACUUGGAUAACCGUGGUAAUUCUAGAGCUAAUACAUGCUAAAAAUCCCGACUUCGGAAGGGAUGUAUUUAUUAGAUUAAAAGCCAAUGCCCUCUGGGCUCUCUGGUGAAUCAUGAUAACUGCUCGAAUCGCAGGGCCUCGUGCCGGCGAUGGUUCAUUCAAAUUUCUUCCCUAUCAACUUUCGAUGUUUGGGUAUUGGCCAAACAUGGUUACAACGGGUAACGGAGGGUUAGGGCUCGACCCCGGAGAAGGAGCCUGAGAAACGGCUACUACAUCCAAGGAAGGCAGCAGGCGCGCAAAUUACCCAAUCCCGACACGGGGAGGUAGUGACAAUAAAUACUGAUACAGGGCUCUUUCGGGUCUUGUAAUUGGAAUGAGUACAAUUUAAAUCCCUUAACAAGGAACAAUUGGAGGGCAAGUCUGGUGCCAGCAGCCGCGGUAAUUCCAGCUCCAAUAGCGUAUAUUAAAGUUGUUGUGGUUAAAAAGCUCGUAGUUGACCCUUGGGCCUGGCUGGCCGGUCCGCCUCACCGCGUGUACUGGUCCGGCCGGGCCUUUCCCUCUGUGGAACCCCAUGCCCUUCACUGGGCGUGGCGGGGAAACAGGACUUUUACUUUGAAAAAAUUAGAGUGCUCCAGGCAGGCCUAUGCUCGAAUACAUUAGCAUGGAAUAAUAGAAUAGGACGUGCGGUUCUAUUUUGUUGGUUUCUAGGACCGCCGUAAUGAUUAAUAGGGACAGUCGGGGGCAUCAGUAUUCAAUUGUCAGAGGUGAAAUUCUUGGAUCUAUUGAAGACUAACUACUGCGAAAGCAUUUGCCAAGGAUGUUUUCAUUAAUCAAGAACGAAAGUUAGGGGAUCGAAGACGAUCAGAUACCGUCGUAGUCCUGACCGUAAACUAUGCCGACUAGGGAUCGGACGAUGUUAUUUUUUGACUCGUUCGGCACCUUACGAGAAAUCAAAGUGCU
rnacentral:rRNA from 1 species